GCCUGCCCAGUGGAAUUUCUAAAUGGCCGCAGAAUUUUAACUGUGCUAAGGUAGCAUAAUCAUUUGUCUUUUAAUUAAAGACUAGAAUGAAUGGCUCAACGAAAUUUUUCUGUCUCUUUUAUAUAACUAAAAUUUAAUCUUAAAGUUAAAAAGCUUUAAUAUAAUAAAAAGACAAAAAGACCCUAUAGAGUUUUAUUUAUUAAUUUUAAAAAUUAAAAAAUAAUAAAUUUUGUUGGGGCAACUAAGAAAUAACUAUUUUUCUAAUAUAAAAACAUAAUAUUUAAAUCAUUUUUUAAAUAAAACAAAAUAAAUUACCUUAGGGAU
rnacentral:rRNA from 1 species